GUACGUAUCAACACAUUUGAAAAUGUCAGACUGGGAAGAAGAAGUUUUCUCACUGGGAAUUGAACACCUGGUGUGAGAAAAUCUAACAGAAAGGGUAUGUUUGCAUUGAAAUAGUAAAUUCCUUAGAUAUGAAGAGAUCAAGAGCCUUAUAAACUUCAUACCAUGCAGCUCCAUCUGCAGAGAGUUGGUUCCACACCACAAAGAGUGUUAAACAUAUAUCAACAUGGUACAACAGGAAAAGUAAAUCAACAAUAAAGGGGAGAAACCAGGAAUAAGAAGAGAAAAGGCAGGGGAAAGACGAGUCCAUAAAACUCUAUUCCAUAUGAUCUUGGACCAGAGUUGGAAUUUUCACAGAACAGAUAUGAGUACUGCUCACUUUUUAAACAAAAAAGUACUGAUUUGGAGAUAUUAAAUGAUACCACCCUCUUUACCCAAAUAAAAACUGGAAGUUGAGAUCCAACACCUAUUCCAGACAAAAUGUUGUAACAAGGUGGUUUUCAAGGUAAAUGUGAACUCAAUUUCAUGGCCAAAGUCAGAAAAUUUUUAAUAAAAGAGUAUAAAAUAAAGCAUAACUGAACAAAACAAGUAUAUUUGUGAAACAUUUGCUUCAAUUGUCAUGUAAAUAGAGAGAAAGACCUGGAUCAUUGCUAUAGACUGAGGGUGUCCCACCAAAUCUCCACCCAGA